CUUUUAAUUCUUUCAUUAAUCUUCUGGCACUGCUUUAUCCAACACAUGUCCAUGAGUCACUCCUUCUGUAUGGAUGUAAGAGAAUCUCUCUCACUGACUGACAUGAGAUCUUCAUUCCUUGCUGAAAUGUAUGGCUCCAUGGCUUGGCAAUGACAGUGGCGUGCAGGUGGGGACGAGGCUCUCAAGCUCCAUAAGAAAAAUGAUCUCCAUGGGUCUCAGCAUCCUCAUGCUCUGACGUGUGGUCCUCCACAGGCUGCAGGUGGAUGUCUGCUCCACCAUUAACCUCGAUGAGCUGCAGGGGGACAGUCUGCCUCACUGUGGUGUUCACCAUGGUCCACAGGGAAAUCUCUUCUAUGGCAUCUGGAACACCUUCUCCUUCUUCACUGUCCUUGGUGUCUGCAGAGUUGUUUCUCUCACAUACUCUUACUUCUCUCUCCACUGCCGCUGUGUCACAGUUCCCCCCCCCCCCUUCUUAAAUACAUCAUCACAGAGACAUUACCAUCAUCACUGAUGGACUUGGCCUUGGAGCUGGCUUGCAUUGACUCUCUCCAACAUUGGGGAAGCUUCUAGCAGCUUCUUACAGAAGCCACCUCUGAAGCCCUGCCACUACCAAAACCUUGCCUUGCAAACCUAAUAUCUUAAAAAAAUAGAAGGAUUUUAAAUUUAAUAAUUAAAUGCAGGUGCAUUGACCAUGCAAAGAAAGAAUGUGGAUGACUGCCAUCAACAUGGAUUCUUAGUAUAUUAGCAGUCCUAAUGACGGAAACAGUGACUUCUGUAGGAAAAAGCCAAAGAAGUCAUGACUUCCUAUUCAUGCAGAACAUUCUUGUAAUUAACAUAAGAAGUCUCCCAGAAAAUCUUGAGUUAAUCUUGAACACUUUCAGCCAUCCAUCUCAAAACAGUUGGUCUUAAUUAACUUAUAGAGGCCUUGGGUUUCAUAGUGGCCAGUAAUCAUCUGGGGUUUGUGUGUUUAACCAGAGUCUUAAGAAACCUUGACUUGAAUAUUCCAUCUUAAUAUUCAGACAUAGAGGCCUGUGUGUUUGUUAAGACAUUAAUUCUGAAUGACAUUUCUAUGUCUCUGAUACCCUUUUUCCACUGAGAUGAUAACUGAGCUCUGACUCAAUAGA